UCAAGCAACACAUUAGUAGCCUUGAUGUCCCUGUGAACAACCUUCAGUCUUGAUUCUUCAUGAAGGUAUGCUAAACCUCUAGCAAUACCAACACAUAUUUUCUUUCUUGGUGACCAAUCUAAUCUUAUUUGGUGUUCCUCUGGACCUUCAUUUUUGAAUGUAAUAAAAAUCAGACAAUGAAACUACAUAGUCGACUGCUAAGAUAGAAAAUGCGAAAUAUCACAAAAAUAGACCAUAUCGUAAAAAUUACCAAAUAAAGCACGAGCAAGACUAUUGUUUUCCAAGUAUUCAUAUAUCAGCAACAAUUGAUCUCCCUCCACACAACAACCGUGGAGUUUAACAAGAUAAGGGUGUUGCAAAGCUGAAAUCAUGCCUAUCUCGUUUAAAAACUCACGAUUCCCUUGCUUUGAUUUUGAAGAAAGUUGCUUCACUGCUAUCAAUGUCCCAUUUGGUAAACUUCCCUGAAUAUUAAGGAAUGGUUGGCUGUUAGAAGUUAAAAAGGAGUUUUAUGAAAAGCAUGACACACGAGGAUUUGUUAUAUUAUGCAAAAUACCUUGUACACAGGACCAAAUCCUCCUUCUCCAAUCUUAUAGGCAAUAUCAAAGUUGUUAGUCGCUGCUUUGAUUUGCCGUAACGUAAAUAGCCCAGGUUGGAAAUCUAAACCCUUUAGCUCUGUUGAUUGAAGUAAAAAAGAAUAUAUAAAAUCAGAGAUUUGUUUUGAGCAAUUUCCACAUCAAUACGUUUAGCAAGUACAAAUCUAGACAAAAUGGCAGCAUUGACAAAACAAUCUAUAUUAUUAUAAAAUCAAAUUCACCUGUUAUGUUUAUAAAGAAAUUUCCCAAAAUUAACUUUUAUGCUUGAAAAAUCCCAAUUGUGCAUCAAAAUCGUGUUUUAGAGUUAAUCUAUCUUCUUAGGUCUUACCUCUUUCUAACGGACCUAUAUGUCUGAGACAUCUUAUCCACCGAGAUAUACCAAAUAUCAGUAAGAUAACUAGUCCUCCAGCAAGAACAAUCACAGCAAUUUUCCAAACAGGCAUGCUACUUCCCUUUUCCACCGGGGGUGUAAAGUCUGUUUAAUUAUGAUAAAAUAUAAAAGAUUUGCAUAUAAACCAUAUUAGAGGAUGAUGGCAUAAGAACCAUGAAGAACUAUAACUGACCAGGAUCAACCGAUAUAGCCGAUAUAAGAGGACCAUAUACCGAUCCAAAUGGGAUAGCAGUUGUCCCUUUCCCAGCCCAAUGAAGGCGAAUCUCCAACGUAUUACUAGUCACAAUAGCAGUGAAUUUCUUUACGACUGCCUUACCAACUCCACCGGCUUCUUUUGCAAUAUUGAAAUCCUUCAGCACCAACCUUGUCUGCAAUAAUUCAAUCAAAAGAAGGUUUAUAAUCUUCAAAGGACAAUUUGAUCAAUACAAAAAAUGUUGUUGACAAAGAUAUAUUUUUUUUGGAUAAGGCACAAAAACACUAAAAGGUUGUUGACAAAGAUAAGACAAUGAGACUAUAACCUGAAUAUAGAUGUCAAAUAUGCGCCUCCCAAGACUGUUAUAUGUUUGGUCAUCGGUGAACAUUAUCUCCGCAAAAUGGAGAUUUACUGUGUAGUUUCCAUUUCCCAUGCAAAAUCCAUAAUAUGUUAGGGAAAGAGGAGAAACCCGUGAAUCCAUAUACAACUCACCAUUGUCGAUGGAAAGGUUCGUUUUAUUAGACCAGGUAUAGUAAUCCUCCACAAGGCUACUAUCAAAGAAGUGGCCGGUGUUGCUAAGUGCCCAAUUCGAUCCACUACGGUGAAAGCUUGCUGCUGGUCCAACUUCAUUAGAAUCAUCGUCAUAUAUCAAGCUUUCGUUAGAAGUUAUGACUUUACCACCACAAUUUAUAUGGAGAGAGUACCAAGCUGGAAUAACCAGAAAAGAAUUAAAUGCUAAUUACAAUAAGAUAACCACAUUAGAAAAAAUUAAAGUUAUCAAUACAAAAAAAAAAAAUUGGAUUCUUGCAUCCUUAUGUAUCGACACUUCCAUUGCUAUUUCCUUAACUUUCAGUUUGAGUUGACUUACAUAAGUUGAUGCAAGAGAAAAAAGAUAAGCAGUGGAUUAAUGAAAAAGAGAAAUGAAAAGAUGAUUUGUUUGGUUACAUGAUAUCUAAUUUGUAGGUACUCAUUAAUAAAUGCUUACAAAGAAGGUGAAGCCAAGAAAAAUGGACCAUUGACAAACAAUACCGAUUAAGUUGUUCAGAUGACUAACUCAUAUUAACAUGGCGUUCUUCGGGAAGAAAAGUUCGCAUUUCACAUUCUACCUUUGAAGAAAUAAAUAAAUUGAAAUGGAGAAUCUGAAGGAAAUCCAUUACCAAUCAACUUACUUUUCGGACAGCCAUUGUUCCCCAAGCAUUCAACCUUAUUUCCCCUGAGAAAAUAAUGAAGGUGUGUAACAUAUCAGCAUAAUCACAUUAUAAUAUGUAUAAGCUAUAUGCAUAAAAUGACUUAUGAGUAGGACAAAACUUACGAGUUAUUUCCCUUUGAAGAUGAUGCAAACAAGUUCCUACGGCACAUGGUUAAUAAAUAGCCAAAGCUUAGAUAGUUUCUUAAAAUAUCUGAAACAAAAAAAGUAUGCAAAUACAUGGAUUCUUACAAGGUUCCCUGUUGACAUGUCAACUGCUCUGGAUUUACAAUGCUCAAGUUGUUAUAUGAAAGAUCUCUGUCAAUUUAAGCAUGUGAUUCAGAAUUAAAGAUGGAACAAAGAACUAUAUGUAACACUUAUUUACAUUGAAAUAUAGAAACCUAAUGGUAAAGCAAUUUAGCAUGCAGGAGUUAUAAUUUUCAAAUCAAUAAAUCAAAUAAGUAGGGUUGGAAGGAUUACUCACGUAUAGUCUGGUCUAGCUAUCCAAUUUGGCAGUGGUCCAGUAAAAAGGUUUCUAGUUAAGUAUCUAGGUAAAAAGAUCAGAGAAGUCAAUUGAUAAAACUCAUCAAUAAUUUAUGAACCAUUAAAAUGGUAAAUACUGUUAAAUUAUAUAUCCUCUUCCCACAUAACACGGAUAGUCCCAAGAAUCCUUUCAUCGACUAAACUGAGCUAAUCAUACCGAUAUUCAUUUUAAUAAAGACUAGAUCGUGACCCACUUGGGUUGGCCCGGUGGUGUUGGCUUGGGCCUUCAAGUUUGCUCAGGCCUAAAGUUAGAACAAAUGUAUACAAGUAACUCAAAGGAUGAUGCUUACAGUAUAUUUAUGUUCUUGAGGCCGCCCAAAGUGUUCGGAAUCUGUCCGCUUAAUUUGUUAAAACUGAGGUCUCUGAAAAAGAAAUUAUGUUCAGGAUAGUAUUACUCAAGAGAAAAUUUGUUUUCGGAAAAGAAACAAGAAAAAUGUUUAGUGACAAUGAUUUUAAAUACUUACAAUGAUUUUAAAUUGGUAAUAUUUCCAAGAUAUUCUGGAACUGUUCCUAUAAGAUUGCAACUCCUCAGUACUCUGUCAAACAAUUUGAUAAUAUGUAAAUCUUUAAGUGCAAAAUGGCUAUGGUGUUUACUCUUUCUUAUUUUUUUGUUACUAAAAAGAUUGCUUUAUACUAAAAAUCCAAGAAAUUCACUCACAAUGUUUCCAAGUUUUUCAAGUUAUUAAGUUGCGGAAAAUGAGAAUCUGAUCCUUUCAAGUCACUUAUUCUCCUGCAUAACAUUUUUUAAGCAUGGUGAAAUUCAAUAAGAGAAAAUAUGAAUUUUGAGCCUGUGAACCACAAACUAUGAAGCACUGACACAAAAAAGAACACCAGACAGAUACAAUACAUACAUUGACACACAGACACCCGUAAUAAUUUGAAAAAAUUGAAUUGCUCAAAUGCGACUACAGUCGGUGUCGGGUCAAUGUCAGGCACCUAUCAUGCCAUCAAUUCGAAGUGUCGGUGCUCUACAGACCACAGUAAGAAACAUCUUACUUACAAGUCGGUGAGGUUUUUUAGAUAUGAAAUUCCAGAAGGAAUUGGUCCACUCAAACCACUCCCUUGCAUAACCCUGUCACAAUCAAGAGUCGUUCUUUUGAUAAAUAGAUAAAUAAUAUGCAAUUCAACUAGGAAAAGAAAUUGAUGAUUUAGAAAUUUCACAACAAGAAAUAAAAAGUUCAUACAGCCUCUCAAGACUUUCCCAGCUUUGAAUGAAAUCAGGUAAAGUUCCAGAGAAUUGAUUGUCGCCAAGUCGACUGCAUUUUUAGACGGUAAGCAACAGAUUAAUAUGAAGUCGAUUAGACCGUAAGCAACAGAUUAAUAUGAAAUUGAUAUAGUAAAUGUAAUUCAGUGUAACAAAAAUAACCAAACAAAGGAUUCUUACAUCUGCUUCAGAUUAGCGAGCUUAGCAAAUGUUGCUGGUAAAUUUCCAGUAAAAUUGUUGGAGGUAAGAAGCCUGCAAAAUAUUGAAUGAAUAUAAUCACACUUAUUUUAUAGGUUUUUCUAUAUAAAUCAAACUACCUAUAGAAACCUAUGAAUUUGGAAAUAGUUUCCUCGCCAAUGUUCAUCUAAUCACAUCAAAGCAUCCAAGUUUAAAGCAUAAAAUGUAGACAAAAAACUUCUCAAUCAACACUAAAGCUAUAUGAUAUAACACGGUUAUAACUGCUAUUUGACAACAUUUUGAACUAAAUUGCAUAUUUUGGAACAACAACGAUUUAUUUAAAUUCUGCUAUGCUCUAUCCUCUUUGGAAAUAUAAAUUGUGAUUUCCAACUCCUACAAAUUAAGGGGCUUACAGUCUUUCAAGUCGAUGAAGAUUUCCAAGCUCCGGAGGAAGCUGUCCAGAUAAUUGAUUGAACUCUAGAACCCUAUGCAUUUCAAGUUUCAAUAAUUAUAAGUUCCUUGAGCAAUUUUCAAAAAAUCGAAAUAAGAAAAUUACUUACAAGCUUUUCAGGGUGAUGAUUUUUCCAAGUUCUUUUGGAAUUGGACCAGUUAAACGAUUUCCUAAUAGUGAACUGUCAAAAAAUUAAGAAACAUUGCAAAACUACUUAGAAGAUUAUAUUCCAAAAGGAAAAAAAAUAUAAAAAUGAUAUAAAAAAACAAUACUCAUUUCUCAUAAAUAUUUACUAUUUUUUUUUGUUACAUGUUACAAAAUUUUCAUCGCUAAACCGAAUUUUCUUAGUUCGCAAGAAAACAUGAUCAAAGUCCUGACCAGUUGCUUGAAAGGUAUAAGAUUCUUACCACUUGGACAAAUUCAUUGUUGAUGAACGAUUUACUAAUUAAAUUCCAUUAAUCAGCAUAAAAUAAAUUAACAAGAAAUCAAAGAAAGGGUAAGAGGAAAUACAUAUUGACAAGAUGCAUGGAACCCCAUUGUGGAGGGAUUGUACCAUUAAGGUAGUUGCGAGUAAGAUCACUGUACCAACAAAAUAGUGAACAAAUAAACAUUAUGAUAAUUUAAUGAUGAUGAUGAUGAUAUACAAAUUUAGUAAGGUGUAGAAUGACAACAUACAUUUCUUGGAGGUAAGGCAAUCUAGCAAGUUCCCUUGGAAGUGUGCCCGAAAGAUUUUGUGACUUGAGAACACUGCAACAUUGAUUUUUGAGGCAAAAAUGAAAUUCAUAACUAGAAAUCUAGAGCAUAAAAAUAUUUUUAUUAUAAGCUUGUUUAACAUUUUGAAAUUGUUAUCCAACCGAAGGUUGACCAUUUAUAUAUAGCCACUUUUUUACUUGGUAGAAAUAUAUAAUUAUUCUUAUUUAUUACACAUAACAUGGAAUGCAAAUUAAAUGGUUGAAUUUAAGUAUUUAAUGAAUUUUAAUUAAGGUUGGUAGAAAUAUAUACUUGGUCUUUUAGGCAUAAAGACAUUGAAGAAGAUCUUCAACAAACACACAAAAGAGGCACACAUAUGGAGAUUAGGGACAUACAUGCUAACAAUAUGGCAGACAGUGGAAUUGGCAAAAUAGCAAUUGCAUGUAACAGCAUUUGCAAACCCUUUCAUUGGACUAGAUGUCCAGUUACUUUGUCCACUGCAUGGAUCUAUGCUGAAGUCCCAAUCCUUCUUCCCAAGUGUCUUAGCUAUGUCUUUCAUAACUUGUACUGUAAAUUAUUCAAAAGAAACAUAUAUACAUAAUCAUAAUGUUAAAACCAUAUUGUAUUGGAAUUUGAAAUAUGAUUUUUUUUCUACUACUACAAAAAAGUUGAGUUAUAGUGACAAAAAGUAGAGAUUGAAAAACAAAAAUUGUUUGAGUUCAGUUUUAAAGAUGCAAAAAUUGAAGACCAUUUUUAUUUAUUUCGUCUUUAAUAUUCAACGGGUGAGUUGGACCGCAAGGAUUCACCAGAGUAAGAACAGUCUCAAGACUAAAAGAGCAUUGAGAGUGAUACUUACAUAAUAUCCACAAAUAAUGUCCUAACGCCGGUGGGAGGAGUUAAACUCAAGCCCUUGCAAGGUAUGAGCCUACUCUUUACCAACUGGUCGACCUCUCUUAGUAACAGUGAUGUUUUUAUUGUGCUAAUAGUUUACUAAGAGACAUAUAAGGUACGUACCUUCUUCUUCUAAUAAAGUAGCUCCACUAGCAAAUGAAGAGAUCAAACAAAAAGCAAGAAGCAAAAGAUGAAAUGAUAGAGGAAAAUUCAUGUUCAUGAUGAUAAGCUUCAUAUUUGAAGAGAUAAUAUCACUUUAUGAUAAAUCAGUGGAAGAAUUAUGAUCUUAAGCAUGUUACCAGCUUGUAUAUAUGUAAAAUUUAAGGUUUCUUAAAGGAGGCUACUUGAGUUAAAUAUAUGAAUUAUAAUGAAGUAUAAAGGGGUAUACACGUUGUAAAUCUUGAAAUGUGUGUUAGGUAUUAUUUUCCUUGUAGUUUAGUUUAACUUUCUUACACAAGUUGCUAAUUCAGUACUAUAUAUCUCGUCUCUAAUCAGAAUAUGGUUGACUUUUUGUGUUUUGAUUACACAAGUUAGUGAAUGAGUCAAAGAAGUAAGAAGAAAAUCUAAGAGAAAGUGACAGGUGAACAUGAAGUGUGAAAGGAGGAGACAAAAAGGGAGGAGGUUAGUGAUGAUAGAAUAUAUUAUUUACCACUAACUUAAGGACUAUAAUUUGUUAAAGUCAGUGUGCUAGUUUCUUUGUUGAUAAGAAAUCAAACAUUAUUAAUUUGCAUUUUUUUUUUUUUAAGAUUAGAAAUCAAAUUCAAUAUUGUCGAGUUUACAAUGCGCACCAAUAAACACAUUAACCAUUUGUACUAGACUCCGAUGAUAUCAAUAUGCUUUGUUGAUAUAUAGAAAAGUUGAAUAUAGUAUCUUUGUGACACAUAGGCAAACGUUGUCUCAUAAUCGAUUAAGAAUUUUCACCUAUUCAAACGGUUCAUUUUUUUGAAAAAAACGAACCAAACUGUUCUAAUGGUUCAUAAAACCGAACCGAACCAUGUGUUAACCAUGUGUAGUUUGGGCCAAAACUGCUACAUAUGCUUUUUGACAACAAUUUUCAUAGUUUAGAUUAUAUUUGUUUAACUGUUAAAAACAAAAAGGUUGUAGUGAGGGUAAACUAUGUGAUGUAUUAGGAGUUCGAAAUGUAGCAAUUGAUGGAAAACAUUGGGACUAAGCACAUGAGGAGAGCCUAAUCCAAAAAAACGGUUUAUUAGAUAGAACCGGUUAACCAUAUUGAGUAAUUGUAUCUACUCAAUGUGCAACUCCUGACAUUGUCACACCCGUUAAAAGUUGACGUCACAACGGAAUUCACUCUAUCGUAGUAACUCCCUGAUAGCUCUUUUCUCUUUCAAGACUUCACUCAUCUAUUUAUGAUUGAGUAUUCAGUGGAGCUAAAUUCUCAACAAAAACACCAUUUUCUUUUACAAAGAACAGUGUAAUAGAAUUCAAAACUGAGUUUAAGAUAUCAUGGUGUUUUUGUUAAACUGAGUUUAAGCUAAAUUCUCAACAACACACCAUUUUCUUUUACAAAGAACAGUGUAAUAGAAUUCAAAACUGAGUUUAAGAUAUCAUGGUUUCUUCACAUGAUAAUGGGAGGACUUCAAGCAGCAGAUGCAAUUAUUUUUCAACAAACAAUCUUAAUUUCUUUUCUCCCAAUAAGAAGAAUCAAGGCGGACAGGAUAAAGGUCCGCAGCUGAUGAAGAUGAAGCAGUCCAUGGCCCAUCAGUUAAUAAACUUUGAGUUUGUGUUUGUGAUUUACUUGUCUUAUUUUCUUCAAUCUGAUAGUAAUACUGUCUCAUUGCUUCCAACUUUUUCUCAUCCAUUACUUCACUUGAAUCUGAAACAAAUUCUGGAACCACGGUAUUUCCUUCAAGCAUACUUACCACGGACGACAUCGAUGGCCUAAGGUUUGAAGUGAGGUUGGUGCAUAGGAGAGCAACAUUGAUCAUCACCAUAGCUUCCUUUUUGUUGAAAUCUAAACCUAAUCUUCUAUCAACUAGUUCCAUUAGGUCACCUCUCUCUUUCAACAAAUGUGCCUGUCGAAAGAAAAAAAAAAAUAGUUUCAUUUCAAACAAAUCUAAAUUCAAUUUUUGAAAAUUCUUCAAAGAACGAACUUCUUCAAAGAAACAAUAAAUGUGUGACACAAAACGAAGUGCAAGUAGAUAGUACAAUGGAUAAUCAGAUUUACAUGACUAAUUGACAACAUUAAAAAGUUACCCAAUCAAGAAGAUAGAAUGCUUCCUCCUUUGACCGAUACAUGGUGUUGCUCUUUCCACUAACGAUUUCCAAAGCAACAAUUCCAAAACUAUAAACAUCUGCUUUAUCCGUCAAAUAACCAUGCAUUGCAUAUUCAGGAGCCAUAUAUCCACUGCAUAGUUGGAACAUAUCAUUGUAAUAACUUGAUAUCAGUAUAAAACAUAUUAAAGUUUUAUACUAUAAAAAUAUCAUUUGAACUGAAUUUGGUAACUUUUUGGAGUAAUUUUUAAUAAACUCGGAGCAGGAAACACUUGUAUAGUUACUCACUAUGUCCCAGCAAUUCUUGUGCUAAUGUGAGUAUUCUCCUCCUCAUCAAGCUUGGCCAAACCAAAAUCAGAUAUCUUUGGGUCGAGAUUCGCAUCAAGCAACACAUUGGUAGCCUUGAUGUCCCUGUGAACAACCUUCAGUCUUGAUUCUUCAUGCAGGUAUGCCAAACCUCUAGCGAUACCAACACAGAUCUUCUUCCUUGUUGACCAAUCUAAUUUUAUUUGGUGUUCCUCUGGACCUUUAUUAGUGGAUGUAAUAAGAAUCAAACAAUUAUACUACUAGUUAUGUCCUAAGUUAGAAAAUGUGAAAUAACGCAUGAAUAGCAACCCAAAGUAGGCCAUAAAGGAAAA
rnacentral:lncRNA from 1 species